rnacentral:rRNA from 1 species
UACGUAGGGUGCAAGCGUUAAUCGGAAUUACUGGGCGUAAAGCGUGCGCAGGCGGUUUUGUAAGCCAGGUGUGAAAUCCCCGGGCUUAACCUGGGAACUGCAUUUGUGACUGCAAGGCUGGAGUGCGGCAGAGGGGGAUGGAAUUCCGCGUGUAGCAGUGAAAUGCGUAGAUAUGCGGAGGAACACCGAUGGCGAAGGCAAUCCCCUGGGCCUGCACUGACGCUCAUGCACGAAAGCGUGGGGAGCAAACAGG